rnacentral:rRNA from 1 species
GAUGAACGCUAGCGGCAGGCCUAAUACAUGCAAGUCGAACGGUGUAGCAAUACACAGUGGCGCACGGGUGCGUAACACGUAUGCAACCUACCUUACAUUGGGGGAUAGCCUUUCGAAAGGGAGAUUAAUACCGCAUAAGAUAGUAACUGGGCAUCCAGUAGCUGUAAAAGAUUUAUCGAUGUAAGCUGGGCAUGCGUCCAAUUAGUUAGUUGGCGAGGUAAUGGCUCACCAAGACGAUGAUUGGUAGGGGAACUGAGAGGUCAAUCCCCCACACUGGCACUGAGAUACGGGCCAGACUCCUACGGGAGGCAGCAGUAGGGAAUAUUGGGCAAUGGGCGCAAGCCUGACCCAGCCAUGCCGCGUGCAGGAAGAAGGCGUUAUGCGUUGUAAACUGCUUUUAUACAGGAAGAAACGACCCUUGCGAGGGGCAUUGACGGUACUGUAUGAAUAAGCACCGGCUAACCCCGUGCCAGCCGCCGCCGUAA